UACGAAGGGGGCUAGCGUUGCUCGGAAUCACUGGGCGUAAAGGCGCGUAGGCGGCCAUUCAAGUCAGAGGUGAAAGCCCAAGGCUCAACCUUGGAACUGCCUUUGAUACUGUUUGGCUUGAGACCGGUAGAGGUAAGUGGAACUGCGAGUGUAGAGGUGAAAUUCGUAGAUAUUCGCAAGAACACCAGUGGCGAAGGCGGCUUACUGGACCGGUUCUGACGCUGAGGCGCGAAAGCGUGGGGAGCAAACAGG
rnacentral:rRNA from 1 species